AACCCAACAAGGGUUAUUCAAAUCAGUUUAUAUAGUGAAGCAAACUAUGCCGGUGAAUCUGCAUACAAAAUCCCAAACCCAAAGCAACCGUAUCAGCCCUGCCAAAAAGAUGAUGCUCGGUGAACGACACCGUCCUAAUCCGACCAUCCACGUCCCGCCGUGGGCCCUUGUUGACGAUGCAAAUCCUGACGUUUAUCCCUCAUCACCGUUGAGCUCCCAUUCUAGCAAUGCUGCUCCAGCCUCUGACUACAAC
rnacentral:misc_RNA from 1 species